GGCAAGCGUUAUCCGGAUUUACUGGGUGUAAAGGGAGCGUAGACGGCAUCACAAGUCAGAAGUGAAAAUCCGGGGCUCAACCCCGGAACUGCUUUUGAAACUGUGGAGCUGGAGUGCAGGAGAGGUAAGCGGAAUUCCUAGUGUAGCGGUGAAAUGCGUAGAUAUUAGGAGGAACACCAGUGGCGAAGGCGCUUACUGGACUGUAACUGACCUUGAGGCUCCAAAGCGUGGGGAACAAACAGGAUUAAUACCCUGGU
rnacentral:rRNA from 1 species